rnacentral:rRNA from 1 species
GCCGCAGUAUUUUAACUGUGCAAAGGUAGCAUAAUCAUUUGCCUUCUAAUUAAGGGCUUGUAUGAAUGGUUGGAUGAGAAAUUAACUUUCUUUAUUUUAUUUUAUUGAAUUUUAUUUUUUAGUUAAAAAGCUAAGAUUUAUUUAUUAGACGAGAAGACCCUAUAGAACUUUAUAUUAAUUUAUAUUUUUUUAUGUUUUAGUUUAUUCUUUUUUAAUAUGUAUUCUUAUUUUGUUGGGGUGACAGGUAAAUUUAUUUAACUUUACUUUUUUUAUUUCAUUUAUUUAUGAUUUUUUUGAUCCAUAUUUUAUGAUUAUAAGUUUAAGUUACCUUAGGGAUAACAGCGUAAUUUUAUUGGAGAGUUCUUAUUUAUAGUAAAGUUUGCGACCUCGAUGUUGGAUUAAA